rnacentral:rRNA from 1 species
UACGUAGGGGGCAAGCGUUAUCCGGAUUUACUGGGUGUAAAGGGAGCGUAGGUGGCAAGGCAAGUCAGAUGUGAAAACCCGGGGCCCAACCCCGGGAGUGCAUUUGGAACUGUAUGGCUGGAGUGUCGGAGAGGCAGGCGGAAUUCCUAGUGUAGCGGUGAAAUGCGUAGAUAUUAGGAGGAACACCAGUGGCGAAGGCGGCUCUCUGGUCUGCAACUGACGCUGAGGCUCGAAAGCAUGGGUAGCGAACAGG